rnacentral:rRNA from 1 species
UACAGAGGUCUCAAGCGUUGUUCGGAUUCAUUGGGAGUAAAGGGUGCGUAGGCGGCGCGGUAAGGCGGGUGUGAAAUCUCGGAGCUUAACUCCGAAACUGCAUUCGAUACUGCCGUGCUUGAGGACUGGAGAGGAGACUGGAAUUCCUGGUGUAGCGGUGAAAUGCGCAGAUAUCAGGAGGAACACCGGUGGCGAAGGCGGGUCUCUGGGCCGAUACUGACGCUGAGGAGCGAAAGCGUGGGGAGCGAACAGG